GUCCGUGCAGCCUAAUGGACAGGGCAUCUGCCUUCCAAGCAGAAAUGUGCGGGUUCGAGUCCUGUCAUGGAUG
rnacentral:tRNA from 1 species